AUAAGUCCAUCAAUCAUAGAUC
rnacentral:snRNA from 1 species